GAAAUGCGAUAAGUAAUGUGAAUUGCAGAAUUCAGUGAAUCAUCGAAUCUUUGAACGCACCUUGCGCUCCUUGGUAUUCCGGGGGGCAUGCCUGUCCGAGCGUCAUUACGCACCCUCAAGCCCGGCUUGUGUGAUGGGCCCUGGCGUCUCGUUCGCGAGACGGGCCCGAAAGGCAGCGGCGGCGUCGACCCGAUGAGCCCGAGCGUAUGGGGACUUUUGUCACACGUUUGCGGUGCGGACCGGCGCCUGCUUGACUUUUCUGAUUAUCCAGGUUGACCUCGGAUCAGGUAGGGAUACCCGCUGAACUUAAGC
rnacentral:misc_RNA from 1 species